UCCUACGGGGGGUAGCAGUGAGGAAUAUUGGUCAAUGGUCGGGAGACUGAACCAGCCAAGCCGCGUGAGGGAUGAAGGUACAGAGUAUCGUAAACCUCUUUUGUCAGGGAACAAAGGCGGGGACGUGUCCCCGGAUGAGUGUACCUGAAGAAAAAGCAUCGGCUAACUCCGUGCCAGCAGCCGCGGUAAUACGGAGGAUGCGAGCGUUAUCCGGAUUUAUUGGGUUUAAAGGGUGCGCAGGCGGUCUGUUAAGUCAGCGGUCAAAGCCCGGGGCUCAACCCCGGCCCGCCGUUGGAACUGGCAGG
rnacentral:rRNA from 1 species